UACGUAGGGGGCAAGCGUUGUCCGGAAUCAUUGGGCGUAAAGAGCGUGUAGGCGGCUCGAUAAGUCCGCUCUGAAAGCCCGGGGCUCAACCCCGGGAGGCGGGCGGAUACUGUCGAGCUAGAGUCCGGAAGAGGCGAGUGGAAUUCCUGGUGUAGCGGUGAAAUGCGCAGAUAUCAGGAGGAACACCGGUGGUGUAAACGGCUUUCUGGACCAUAACUGACGCUGAGGCACGAAAGCGUGGGUAGCAAACAGG
rnacentral:rRNA from 1 species